rnacentral:rRNA from 1 species
ACGAACGCUGGCGGCGUGCUUAACACAUGCAAGUCGUACGGUAAGGCCCUUUCGGGGGUACACGAGUGGCGAACGGGUGAGUAACACGUGAGUAACCUGCCCACAACUUUGGGAUAACGCUAGGAAACUGGUGCUAAUACUGGAUAUGUGCUCCUGCUGCAUGGUGGGGGUUGGAAAGCUCCGGCGGUUGUGGAUGGACUCGCGGCCUAUCAGCUUGUUGGUGGGGUAGUGGCCUACCAAGGCGGCGACGGGUAGCCGGCCUGAGAGGGUGACCGGCCACAUUGGGACUAAGAGACGGCCCAGACUCCUACGGGAGGCAGCAGUGGGGAAUAUUGCACAAUGGGCGCAAGCCUGAUGCAGCAACGCCGCGUGCGGGAUGACGGCCUUCGGGUUGUAAACCGCUUUCAGCAGGGACGAAGCUUUUUGUGACGGUACCUGCAGAAGAAGCACCGGCUAACUACGUG